GAAGGGUGCAAGCGUUAAUCGGAAUUACUGGGCGUAAAUCGUGCGUAGGCGGUUGGCUAAGUCAGAUGUGAAAGCCCUGGGCUCAACCUGGGAAUGGCAUUUGAAACUGGCCGGCUAGAGUGUGAUAGAGGAUGGCGGAAUUCCCGGUGUAGCGGUGAAAUGCGUAGAGAUCGGGAGGAACAUCCGUGGCGAAGGCGGCCAUCUGGAUCAACACUGACGCUGAGGCACGAAAGCGUGGGGAGCAAACAGGAUUAGAUACCCUGGUAGUCCACGCCCUAAACGAUGCGAACUGGAUGUUGGUCUCAACUCGGAGAUCAGGGUCGAAGCUAACGCGUUAAGUUCGCCGCCUGGGGAGUACGGUCGCAAGACUG
rnacentral:rRNA from 1 species